GCAAGAGAAAAGGGACUGGGAUUCCAACUGUCAGCGGAGAGUGUUGUCUGCAACCAGAAAAUCAGGAUGGAUCCGUGACCUGCCAAUACCUCAGGUCAAUAAGCAUGCCAUUCUUCUUUUUUCCCUCGAUGAUGCUUCGAAGUGGCUCCCUUGUGCACAUUUCUUUGCACUGUUUGGCAAACUCUGACAGUUUCAUUGAGCUUCAUUAAUUAUCAAUGGGUUCCCAUUGUUUUCACUUUAGAAUACUGUUCCAGGUUCUUAGUAAUUCCUUGAG